rnacentral:ncRNA from 1 species
GAAACGGCAAGAUAUUUGAAAGAGUAUUACGCAAAACAACCGGUCUAAGGGGAUUACCUAUGGCAGCGGGGUUUCCAA